CCUACGGGGGGCAGCAGUGGGGAAUAUUGGACAAUGGGCGAAAGCCUGAUCCAGCCAUGCCGCGUGUGUGAAGAAGGCCUUCGGGUUGUAAAGCACUUUCAGUGGGGAAGAAAGCCUUGGGGCUAAUACCCUCGAGGAAGGACAUCACCCACAGAAGAAGCACCGGCUAACUCCGUGCCAGCAGCCGCGGUAAUACGGAGGGUGCGAGCGUUAAUCGGAAUUACUGGGCGUAAAGCGCGCGUAGGCGGUCUGAUAAGCCGGUUGUGAAAGCCCCGGGCUCAACCUGGGAACGGCAUCCGGAACUGUCAGGCUAGGGUGCAGGAGAGGAAGGUAGAAUUCCCGGUGUAGCGGUGAAAGGCGUAGAGAUCGGGAGGAAUACCAGUGGCGAAGGAGGCCUUCUGGACUGACACUGACGCUGAGGUGCGAAAGCGUGGGUAGCAAACAGGAUUAGAUACCCCAGUAGC
rnacentral:rRNA from 1 species